CUUUUCAUAAGGUGGCAAAUACCCCAUUGUGGGGUAGCUGGUCCAUACAAAAUCCCCAUGGUGGGGCUGUGAGAAUAGUGCAAAUGCCCUGUAUUAAAAGCUAAAGCUCAAUACUUGUCAUUCUUUCGUUCCUCGCUUCAGCUUAUGUAGCAGCAUCGCUGUGUACGCAUGACCGCUAAUGCGAAAAAGUAUCUUCUUUUAAUUGGUAUUAAAAUCUUGUUAUAGUUUGAUUAUGACUGUUAUUCAUGUGUAAUCAACUUUUUUUUAUCUAAAGCGUGUUGAAAUUGAUUGAUUUCAGACAUGGUCAAAAGUAGUGCACACCAAUCUCCACAACUUAGACAGAGAUAAACUCGCAAAGACAAUAUACUUUUGCAGAGAAAACUCAUUGAAAGAAGGCUUAUCCCUGUUUGCUUUAUAUAUUAAGCUUAUAAGGUUACAUAUGAUUGCCAUACGCGUCCAUCGUGUUCGCCAUCACUUCUCAACUUGAUUUAGUAGGGCACAAGCUAGUUUCCAGUGGGCUAAAUGUCAGAUAAAGAAUUUACAAUUACGUUCUUGACAUAGGGUUAAUCGCUUUGAUGUUUACUAAAGUACUUAGGCUUAAGCACUGAUGUAUAAAUUUUUGGCUUUGUCUUAAUUGUAGAAUGCCCCACUCCCGGGCAGCCUUUUGCAAGUAAAUGCACCUUGGUGGGAACUGGAAACCUGUCAAAUGCCUAUCCAAUGUCGGAGAGGGGGACAGGCAGGCAGAAGAGCCCUUUUGGAAUUAACAGAGCCAUUAAAAUAUUUAUGUACAUGGGGUCCAGAGCCUUAAAUUUUCAAAAUGAGAGGUGAUCAUUACAUAGCAGUGAGGUAUGAUCUGUGAUAAGUGCUUAUCCCACAAAUACUCUCAUUUAUCAUAUUUGCUAGGAUCUCAACUCUGAAAAUGGUUAAAUACUGCGACAAUGGACAGCCUUGUGUGACUCCUCUAAACAAGGAGAAAAACUCCAUAGUGAAGCUGUUAUCUGUGAUUUAGUGUAGAAGAAUUCUUGCAGCCACCUCUUCAAGCUUGGUGGCUUCACAAAAAGAAUACAGCUUACAGUCAGCUUAAUUUUUGAUGACUGGCGUGAUUGUGCUCAUUCAAAUCUCAGGUUCUACCAGCACAGAAGGUGACGCAGAAAGUUAACAU